UCCGAGAUGGUCUAGUGGUCAUGAUUUCCGCUUGUCACCGUGAAGGAACAAGCGCGGGAGACCGGGGUUCGAUUCCCCGUCUCGGAG